rnacentral:rRNA from 1 species
AUUGAACGCUGGCGGCAUGCCUUACACAUGCAAGUCGAACGGCAGCGCGGACUUCGGUCUGGCGGCGAGUGGCGAACGGGUGAGUAAUACAUCGGAACGUACCCUGUUGUGGGGGAUAACUAGUCGAAAGAUUAGCUAAUACCGCAUACGACCUGAGGGUGAAAGUGGGGGACCGCAAGGCCUCACGCAGCAGGAGCGGCCGAUGUCUGAUUAGCUAGUUGGUGGGGUAAAGGCCCACCAAGGCGACGAUCAGUAGCUGGUCUGAGAGGCCGAUCAGCCACACUGGGACUGAGACACGGCCCAGACUCCUACGGGAGGCAGCAGUGGGGAAUUUUGGACAAUGGGGGCAACCCUGAUCCAGCAAUGCCGCGUGUGUGAAGAAGGCCUUCGGGUUGUAAAGCACUUUUGUCCGGAAAGAAAUCGCGCUGGUUAAUACCUGGCGUGGAUGACGGUACCGGAAGAAUAAGCACCGGCUAACUACGUGCCAGCCGCCGCGGUAA